UAGGGAAUAUUGGACAAUGGGGGCAACCCUGAUCCAGCCAUGCCGCGUGAGUGAAGAAGGCCCUCGGGUUGUAAAGCUCUUUUGUCCGGAAAGAAAAGCAUUCGGUGAAUACCCGGAUGUUCUGACGGUACCGGAAGAAUAAGCACCGGCUAACUUCGUGCCAGCAGCCGCGGUAAUACGAAGGGUGCAAGCGUUACUCGGAAUUACUGGGCGUAAAGCGUGCGUAGGCGGUCUGUUAAGUCUGCUGUGAAAUCCCCGGGCUCAACCCGGGAAUGGCAGUGGAAACUGGCGGGCUAGAGUACGGUAGAGGAUGGUGGAAUUCCCGGUGUAGCGGUGAAAUGCGUAGAGAUCGGGAGGAACACCAGUGGCGAAGGCGGCCAUCUGGACCAGUACUGACGCUGAGGCACGAAAGCGUGGGGAGCAAACA
rnacentral:rRNA from 1 species